rnacentral:sRNA from 1 species
GAAAAAUUAAAAAAUUCUAUUAAAAAGUUGUGAUGAAAGAUAUUAUGUUAAUACGUGCCGUGCCAAGAUUUUAAUUAACUUUAUAGAUGUUGUAAUUCAGUAAUUAACUUUGAAGAUAUAUAAACGCAUAUGUGAUAAGUGCUUGUCGAU